UCUGGUUCCUGGUUCAUGGAUAGCUGUCUUGCUGUGUCUUCACAUGGCAGAAGGGCAGAGAAAAGUAAGGACUCUGGUCACUCUUUUAAGCAAAACUUGACAUGAACAGAUGGAAGCUAUUUAUAGUCUAUCCUCGUCAAGAAGAAUACUCAUAUAUUUUGCUGCAGAAAUGUAAUGUGUUUGAUUACAAGGCCAAAAAACCCACUUUAUGUCAAAGAGGGUGUGACAAGAAGCACAUGACCACAGGAUCUAUGGGAUCUACCAUAUGCCAUGUCAUCCAGAAGCUGCU